GUACUUGCUUAGGCAGCACAUAUACUAAAACUGGCACAAUACAGAGAAGAUUAUCAUGGCCCCUGCACAAGGAAGGCAUGCAAAUUCAUGAAGUGUUCCAUAUUUUU